rnacentral:rRNA from 1 species
GACGAACGCUGGCGGCGUGCCUAACACAUGCAAGUCGAACGGAAAUACGAUUUCGGUUGUAUUUUAGUGGCGAACGGGUGAGUAACGCGUGAGCAACCUGACCUUCAGAGGGGGAUAACAUUUGGAAACAGAUGCUAAUACCGCAUAAGACCACGACCCGACAUCGGGAUGCGGUCAAAGGAGCAAUCCGCUGAGGGAGGGGCUCGCGUCCCAUUAGAUAGAUGGCGGGGUAACGGCCCACCAUGUCGACGAUGGGUAGCCGAGCUUGAGAGGACGACCAGCCACACUGGAACUGAGACACGGUCCAGACUCCUACGGGAGGCAGCAGUGGGGAAUAUUGCACAAUGGGCGCAAGCCUGAUGCAGCCAUGCCGCGUGUAUGAAGAAGGCCUUCGGGUUGUAAAGUACUUUCAGCGGGGAGGAAGGGAGUAAAGUUAAUACCUUUGCUCAUUGACGUUACCCGCAGAAGAAGCACCGGCUAACUCUGUGCCAGCAGCCGCCGUAA